GCUUUCUUUUAUUUCCUCACAUUUUCUCCCUCUUUCCCCACCCCUUUUCUAUUUUUUAAAAACCAAACCCGAAAUAUCGAAAUGGGUGGCAACCUCUCUGACCCCCAUGCUUUAUCAUUAAAUACAUAUAUUUUGAAAAAAAUUAUGUAUGGUAAAGAAAACAUGUGUUUAUAACGUUCAGCAAAAAAAAAUUUAAUAAAUACAACACAAUACAAAACUGAGACGUUACUAAACACGAUAAAUCAUUUCUUUAUUUUUAAUUUAUUUUCUUUAUCAUGAUUAUUUUUUGCUGAGAUUGAUGUCAAACAAUUGUUGAAUGGGUGUUAAGGUGAUGAAAAAAAUCUGCCGGUAACAAAAUAACUAAUUGAAUUAAAAAUGUUAGGCCUAUAGCUUAUGAAUCCAUCACAAUCAUUACAAAUAAAGUUAAGUCUAUUCUACCUCAGGGUUGUGGAAAGUCCAUACGAAAAGGCUCAUCGUAGGGUAGGCCAUAUGUCAUGUUAAAGCAAUGAUGUCUCGACUCCUUAACUUCAUGUUGAACAUAUAUAUUUUUUUUAUAUUAUUGAAGCUUAUGUUAUAUAAACUUCCAUAAAGUUAUCAACUUUAAACGUUUAUGACCAUUGCCAUUUUAGCAUUGUUUCUGUAAACAGUAUUUUCCCCCGUUCAAUUGAUUUCACAUAUUUUUCUACGUUUAAUUAUUGUAAUGCUACUUUACCCACUUGACAUGUUUGCAGCAAGUUUCAUAUUUUGAUUGUCCUCGGUUACUUAAACUUAAUUUCCAUGCAAAAUGUAUGUUUAUAAUCUAAACACUCACAUUUGCAUUUCUUGCGUUACAUCUGAUGAAUAAAAUAAAUAAAUUCGAUUUUUCACACGCAGCCUCUCAUAUUUUCCUUUUUAGUCUCAUACAAUCAGACACGUUGAUUUUAUUUACUCCAUCCAAACCCCAUUUUUACAUCAACAAAUAACAUUCAAAGCAUAAUUUGCAAAAUUAUCACUUUAGAUGCGUAUUAUAUAACAAAUCAGAAUAUUGAAAUAAUACAAUGCCGAAAUUACUUAGUUAAAUCAAUUUUUAUUUUCUGACAAGGGUCUCUUUUGUUGGAAUAUCAAUGAGAGGUGUCCUUAAAAGGACACCGUAUAGAUAGGGGAAAUAAUGAAAAUUUCGAUUUUAUCCAGGUAUGUAUCUUUAAUUUUUGUUCUCCUUUUACCUCAUAAAGUAAGCUCCAAACAUCAUUUCUACAAUCGGUAAUAAACAACAAAUUAUUUGAUCUCCGUUAAUUGAAAAUGAAAUAAAUGAUUUUAUGGAAAGUCGUCAUUUCGAAAUAAAAGGUUCAGGUGACGAUGAAGACUAAAUAUUUUUCCGAUAAUAUCAAUAUCAAACGAUGUUGCGGCCGGACUUGGAAGACAAGAUUGCCUUCGUGAAACGGAAAGCGCUGAUUUGUCACCAAUCUUCCUAUCUCGGAAGAAUUGUCCUAGGACGUUCCUACGUAUCGUUCAUCUCGUCAUGCAACAGGCCCAUUUUAUGCUGACACUUUUCAGUGUGGCUUCAGACACCCUAAAAAAGUUUAACAUUAAUCAAUCUUAAUUUCAAAUAUUGUAAAUCAAUGUUUGUUUCGACUUAAAAAAUAAUGCAAGUCAAUAUUUCAUGCACCCAACUUGUAUUAAGCCUAGUAGAAUACCCCAUAAGGGCAUACAUGGCAUAUAUGGGUUGGUCAUUUCUGUUUUGAUUUCUUCUUCCGUUGAGUACCGGUACAGUCCUCUUUAGAGUACCGACUACCGGUAUAGGACUUUGGUAAAUGUACGAAAACAGUGUAACAUGACCGUUUGUACACUCCAAAAUCAUAAACUCUUGCACUUCAGUCUCCUAUGCUCUCCUGUAAAUUCAAUCUCCAAAGCUCUCCUUACUUUCAUUAAACUAAAAUUAUUAAACUGAAGAUAGGGUGAACACAGAAAAAAUUUACUGUUACAUAAGAUUCCCUCUUCAUUAAAAAUGUCCUCAUUUUUCAAUAUACACUCCAAGUUUUUUAAGUUUCGAUUCAUGUUUUUCUUUCUGAACUUUUUUCUUUCUAGCAUGAAUUUUUUUUAACAGGCCAAAAAUUCAAGAGGAUAAAAAAAAUAAUGAAGGAACCUUAAAUUUCAACUCUUAACAGUAAUAUCAAUAAGUCGUUACUUUUGCAACAAUCAGCAGAACGGCCAAAUGUCCAAACCCAAUCUUAGUAAUUAAUACUUUCUUUUAUAGCGGUCGUCCCUAAACAGACGAUUUCAAAGAAUGAGAAAAAAAUAUAUAUAUUUCGACUUCAAUAUUUCUUUCGAAGAGAAAUAAGAAUUAUUCAAUCAGUAUUAACUAUCACCAAUGGCCAUCUGACUGUUAGUUGCAAAUGCACAAAUAGUAUACAUGUAUAUUAAUGCAAUAUGUAUCAGCAUAUUGUUGUUGCAUGAGUAUUUUCGAAUAUACAAUUAGUUUUCUUCAUUUUUUUUUCUCCAAACUUAAUUAAUUUUUUUGCGAUAUUUGUGAAUUCAAAUAAAAUAUCACUUUUUUUUUUCACAAGUAUUGAAAACCAAUAUCCUUAAAAAGCUAUGCUUGUCUUGUCCAAAAGGAAAAAAAAUAAAUAUACAACAAACUGCCGUAAGCGAAAAUGGAUCAUGCAUCAACAAACAAAUUACUAAAUUUGCAACCAAUCUAAGUUUUGUUUCGUGAACAUUUUGUCCUUGCUUUUUUUUUUCUUUAAGAUUCAAAUUGUCUUAACAAAAUCGAUUUCCAUUCCAUUUUCAAACAUAUUGUUUUGUGUUUGAUGGAAAUGAGAUAAAAUCUUUUUUUUUUUUUUGGUUUUAUUGUUAUUUCCAAAAUCAAGUAUCCAUAUUUGAAAUACAACGAAAACAAUCAUUUGCUUUUUUUGUGUGCAAAAUCAAGUUAAUCAAUAGUAUGGCUAGUUGCAAAAAUUAUAUUUUCAAGAAUAUUCACAUUAACAUGUACUAUAAAUUCUGCAACUGAAUACUUUCUAAGUUUCUAGAUCAAGAUUUGAAUUCUACUUGUAAAAAACAAUCCAAUCUUCAAUAUCAUUGCAUUUUUUGUUUGUUUUCGAGAGUGACUGAGAGCAAAUUUUCAUGGAAUCUACAUUACAAUCAAAAGUAUUGAAAACAAUCUUUUAUCCUUUGAUUUGAAGAUAUUUUUAACCACUUGUUUUGCCACUUUCAUAGAUGUUAUCUCAGUCAGAGAAGGACAUUAAUGCAUAUAUUAUUCAAAGAAAACUCUUUUUGCAUUCAAAAUUUGCCAAGAUCUUUUUUUUUUGGUUUAAAGAAAUAAAAUCUUGAAAUGCAGUAUCAACACAUUCCUGGAGGGUAAAUACAGUGCAGUAAAAAUUGCAUUACAAUCAUGAAAUCCGAUUGCUGCUUUUUAUAUCUGAUUCCAUUUUCAAUCUUUUACGUAUUAAGGUGUUUUUUUUUUCCAAUCGAGGAAAGAAGAAAAUAAGUAAAGUUCUAUGAACACAUCAUUUAAAGCCAUAAAUUUUAUAAAAUAUACCACUCUAAUAUUUCUUGCACUUGUUUUGUUUUGUCUUUGUUGAAACAUUAAAUGUGUUUAAUUUUAAGUAUUCAAAGAUUUUAAAAACCAAACUUCAAACAAGUAAUUAUGACUGAAAAUGUAUUUUCCUUCUAAUGAAUAUCCAAAAGGGAAAAAAAAAUUACAUCGGUAGGAAAUUCUCUGAUCGAUGAAAAAAAAAAGGGAUGUGUUGCCGUAGAAAAUUCUCAUCACAUAAUUCUUCCGUCGAUGAUGAAUGUUCUAUUAAAGUCUGUAUUCGAAUGUGGUAGAAUAACUAUUCUGUUGACGAAAACUGUUCUAUCAAAGUCUGUAUUCAACUGGCGCAGAAUAAUUCUUCUGUUGAUGACAAAUUUUUUAUUAAAGGCUGUACUAUUGUUCAUAGUCUUUAUAUAUCUUGAUGGUUUCUUAACAGAGCGACCAGAUCUAGUUCUUAUAGUGGGUUGAUUUCCUUCUCUCGGGUGUAAAAUCAAAGUUCGAUUUUCCGCAGAAGGAGAUGCGGUAGAUGUUUGGUCUCUUCCAGAGGGUACCAUCAGGGGUUGGUCAUCGCGGGGAGGUGAGCCAAGGUUUGGUCAUCAUCCAGGGGUUGAGCCAAGGGUUGGUCAUCUUCCGGGGGUUGAGCCAGGGGUUGAGCCAGGGGUUGAGCCAAGGGUUGGUCAUCAUCCGAGGGCUGAGCCAAGGGUUGGUCAUCUUCCGGGGGUUGAGCCAAGGGUUGGUCAUCAUCCGGGGGUUGAGCCAAGGGUUGGUCAUCUUCCGGGGGUUGAGCCAAGGGUUGGUCAUUAGGUAGGCGAUGUCCCUCAGAGCAAGUGGCUGGACUACGGGGUGGAUGUAGUCCGCCUGAUGAGUUUUGGGGUAGAUCGUCGGGAUGGAGAGGACCAUUAGGGAGGUUUGCCUGGCCUCCACUCCAAGAUGGUGGGAGGGAGCCAGACAAAGGUGUGAAGGAAGGACGAGAGGUCAUUUUGUGAGUAUGACCACUAGGCAUGAAGUGAGGAUGAGGGGUCAUAUUGGGAGUAUGACCAUCAGGGAGACUUUGACUGAAGUAAGGAUGUCUGCCUGAAGGAGGAUAUUUGAAGGAGUUACCAUCUGAUGGGUCCGUGGAAGAUCGAUAUGGUUUAAUGCGAUUCUUGUGUAUCACUAUCUCUUUCCUGUCAUCAUCUAGACCAUGGAUUCGAACUGUGGGCCCCAUUGAAGAAGAAACUAUUCUGUAGGGUCCCUUCCAGUUAGCUGCUAGCUUACUUCUACUCAUAGCAGGAUUGUUGAGCCAAACCAGAUCUCCAGGAAGAUAUUGGAUAUUUCUUUCUUUCUUAUUGUAAGUAGCUUGCUGUUUGACUCUAGCUGCAUUAUUGCAUGAAGCAGCAUACUGGAAUGCCCGAUGUAGGCGAGAACGCAGAUCUUGAACAUACUGAUGAUGGGUGAUACUAGUCAAUCUUGUGUCUGGGGAUGGUACGGAAUGGGGGAGGCGAACUUCUCUUCCAUACAGUAAGAAGAAAGGUGUAUACCCAGUUGACGAAUGUACAGUCGAAUUGUAUGCUAAUUCAACCUGUUUCAGAUGUUGGUCUCAUUCACCUCCUCUUUCUGCCAAGUAUUUAGCCAGCUGGUCUUUGACGAUACGGUUGGUUCGUUCUACUAUGCCAGCACCCUGGGGGUGGUAAGGAGAUGAGCGGGUUUUCUUGAUACCAAACUGUUUACAAAGUUGACGAACAAGAGAAGAUUCGAACUGACGUCCCUGAUCAGUAUGUAAUACAUCAGGUAAACCGUGUUCCCUGACAUAAUCUUCAAACAAGUGUUUUGAUACUGUGGUAGCUGUUUGAUCCUUCAUAGCAUAGAGAUUGAUGAAUUUUGAGAAGUGAUCCACAACUACAAGGAUGUAGGAAUAACCAGAGGAAGUGCGGGGUAACAUUGCAAUAUCAGCAUAAACCGUCUGGAAUGGGUAGCUUGUCAUAACACUUCGUAGUGGUGCUUGAUGAGAGGGAGUUGGGUUUCUGAACGACUCACAUGCCGUGCAAGUCUCACAGUGGUCUGCUAUAUCUCGGUGCAUGUAAGGCCAAUACAUAUCAUUUUCGGCUCGAGACAGUGUUCUCUCUGUACUAAAGUGUCUAGAAGUAGGAUGACUAUGGAGUAGUUUGAGAACUUCAGGUACCAAACUCUGUGGGAUAACAGCUUGAUAGAGGAUAGUUGAUUUCUUUAAGUCUCUCUUUGUGCGAUAAAGGAUGCCAUCCUCUACCGUGAAACGAUUCAAUUGCCACAGGAAACGUCUCAUUCUUGGUGAAUGACGGCGUAUUUCUCUAGGACCAAGUUUGACUUUUUCAAUCACCAUGUGUUUGACAACUUGUACAUCUUUGUCUAACUGCUGGUGACGAAAGAUUUUGAGUCGUAGGCCAUCAAGGAUCUCUGACGAUGAAGGAGGAAGACGAGCAUCAUCGUCUGAUUUUUAGGAUGUCUCUGACGUAGGAAGACAUUGUUUGCUAUUUGACUCUGGAUAGUCAGGUGAUUCAGGCAACGAAGGAGGAAGGUAAGGCCUCUUUACUACAGGCUUCUCUCUUGGUGCGUCUGUUUGUCUACCUACUGAACAAGUAAUCUUGCUAAUGUUCAUGGCACACACAUGAGACUUCGAAGGAGGGAGGUGCAUACCAGUGUUUGAAAGGUUUGGGAGGCGCAUACCAGGUGGGGCCGUUGGUGAGGUAGUUGAUGGCUGGCCCACAACAUCAACUAACGGUCGUUUCCCUGCCUAUCAGAGAAAUGUACUCUACAUGGAGAAUGAGGACGAAAGGAUGUAUCCACAUUACCAUGACGUUCAGGUCGGCGAUAGUCAUCAUAGUAUCUAUCAUGACGGAGGGGGCUGCUUCCUCUGUCUCGUCUGUCACUAGGACUCGGUGAACGUCGCCAAUUAUCAUUGUAGUCCCGAUGAGGACUCGGCGAUCGUCGGCGAAAUCUAUCAGCAUAAUUACGAUGGAGGGGGCUUGCUGCUCUUCCUCAACUAUGAUACUCAUAAUCUGGAAAGUCAUAGCUACGAUGAACGGGACUUGUCUCUCUUUCCCUUCGGAAAUCAGGAUACCGCCUUGGACUAGGACUGAAUGCUUGACGUCAGUCCUCUUUGAAAGGAGAACGAGGCACUUUGUCUCUACUUUGGGUCCGAGAUGUAGGGUGAAGUGUCAGUGAAGAAAGUUUCUUCUCAAGAUCUUCCAGACGAUCUAAAACUUUCUGAAGAGAAGGGUGAUCAGAAGUUUCCUCGGAUGGAGAGACAGCUGCACUGAGGGUAUCAGUCUGUCUGCCGAAAAUAUGAGCUCUCUCAAUUCUAUUAGCCAAUUCGACAGCCUCUCGGAAAGUCUUUGCUCCCAUUUCGUGGAUUUUCACUUGCAAAAUAUUGCUCAGGCCAGCGACAAAUCUUCGGAACUUCUCCCCUUCCUUGGCAUUAUCACCAUAAGAAGGAAAAGCUUCCUCGACCAAUGAUGCAAUGGCAGCUGCAUACACAGGGAUCUGCUCUCCCGGCUGCCUCACCCGAGCUGUAAUACAUGACUGGAAUGUAGUAAUAAAAUCUGACCGCCCAAAAAUUGCGGAUAGUCUCUCUUUAGCUACUUUAAAGUCAGCCUGCUCGCUUGGAGGAAGACUUUCCCAUACAGAGAAUGCAUUGCAGGUCCUGUCAACUUGGAGGGAAGGACAAAUUGAAGCUUGUCGGCAACUGAUGAAUCAGCUGCUGCAGCUACCUCCAAUCUUCUAACCCAUUGUCUAAAAUCCUUUCCAUCUUCGCCAGAGAAAAACUCUGGCAAUUUAAUUCGAAACAUGACUAUGUCGACGAAGGAUGAAAUACCUCAAACCUAUUCGUAUAAUUAUGAAGGAGGGAGGUUCCCUUUUUCUUCUCUAGUAAAUACUUGUCUUGAGUAGAGAAAAAUAAAUUAAAUAUAGAUCUUCAGUGCUUGGAUACAAAGCUGAUAUCAAAAUCCGAGCACCAAUAUGAAGGAGGAAGAUAUACCACCAGACUGUGUGGAUGCAAAUAGAUCUAUAUCAGUUAACUUUAACUUAACUACAUCUGAAGGAGGGAGAUAUACAACAAGAAGAGUCAGACCUCCAAACUCCAAUAUAUGUCGGGACAUAUGAGAGGAAGACACCAGAUGAAGUAGGGCGACCAACUCAGCCAACAUCAAAACCAGGAUGUAGCAGAGAUAAUACAAAAUCUAGCCAGGAGCUACAAUGUAAAUGACUAGAAAAUGAGUGCUGCUGGAAUGCUGGACUAUAUACUGUUAUCAAAUGAAGUAGGGUAUAAAAUACAAACUAAAUGUAGGUUAACUCACCAAUAGUAAUGCAUCAAAAUACAUCAUGAAGAAGGAUGGAGCUCAAAAAUACAAUGGAGGGAGAAAAUGUCGACACUGACAAAACAGGAAUGGCAUAGACUGGAAGUAAAUAUAUAUGAAGUGAGGGUGGGCUGGAUCACUCUAGGCGACACCCCAAUACUUACCCGUGCUAAUAAACUGGGACUCCACUCACGCGCAUUUGGGCCGCCCUAGCUUAGAACUAAGCAAUAUUAUCUAGAAAUUGUUAAACUCUAGUCAUGAAAUAUGUUCUAUUAAAUAAAUUGAUAAUGUUUAAUCGGUACUCACCGGUUCUUUUGUUGCAUUUUCAGACCAUUUCUCACAAUUCUUCGUAAAUAUUUGCGGCAAAUUUUGUCGCCAUAGACAGCUAUACAUCCAUCUUUAUUAAUAAAUGGAGCGCCCUUUACGAUAGUUGUUAAUGCCGCGGAGAAAUCGUUAGGCAUUUUGGCAUGUCACCUUCAAGGCGUUCUUUCUGUUUUAUUUUUUAUAUUGAAGAUUGUGCAUUUGUUGAAUAGCGCCGUCUACGUCAGGUAUGAGAUCGAGUGUAUAAAUACACUCUUCCAAAAUAAUUAUGAUUCCGACCUGGCGCUGUUUAACUUCAAUCUCUUUCACCUAAAUUAGCGAUGAAUGCUAGCAUUAUAAAAUAUAUAUUAUUAACGUCUGACGAAAAGAAUAACCAACCGAUCAGCCGACGAGAACGCGAAUCACGUGAUCUUCAUAUCAGCUUCGAUCGCGAGUCAGAAGUGAAGAGCAACUGCCCAGAAAAUCAGGAAAAAGCCGUGAAAAUGUAAGUUCCCCUUCAUUUCUUUCAUUUUUUUGUUGUUGCUAACGAUGCAUUUACACUAUAAAAUUAUAAUUUAAAUAAGAGAAAGGAAUAUAGGCCUAGCUUGUACUUGUGAUAUAAUAUAUAAAUAUCCUGUUCUCAGAGAUUUCUAACCAAAAAUACUACUGAUGUCGCCUAUGAGGUCCAUACAUGUAGGCCCGAAUUCACAAAGGUGGUUUUUGCAGAAACCAUGGUUUCAACCGUGGGUUUUACUGAUUUUGCGAUUCACAAAGGUGGUUUCAAAUGAAACCAUGGUUUCAACCGUGGGUUUUCGGCAUGAUUUUGAGUCAACUGUUUUAGGUGGUUUCAAACCGUGGGUUUUAGAAAAACCAUGGUUUUUAGGCACAUUGACCAAUCACAGAACAGUAUUUCGGUACAUUGCUGAGCGCAAGUGGAGAUAGACGACGAUAAAUAGAUAUGCACGAAAAGAAAAGAAGCUAGAAGCGAAGCGUGUAAUAUCGGUAUUUGCCGAGCUGUGAGAACAUCUAAAUUUUCGAAUGGAUGAAAACAUCUUACAACAUGUGCAGGCUGUCCUGAAGAAUGAAGGAGGAUUGUUAGAGAGGAAUAUGCCAACCAGAACUGCAAUUAGGAGUCAUUGACAGGAGGAACCUUUGUGACUUGUACGAGGAUCCUUUGUGACUUGUACGAGGAUGAAGCUUUCAAGCACCACACGCUACCUUAUCAACAUGCUUGAAGAUGAUCUGAGCCUGAGGAGGGACAAAGGGCCUAGUGAUCGACUACCUUUGUAUCUGCAAAUAUCGACAAUUCUGCGUUUGUAUGCUGAUAAUUUCAGGGAAUACAUGGUGAUGAGACAUCAGCUGUUGAGUGAUCAAAGAUGUUUCGCAAGCCAUAGCAAGAAGAAAGGUUUUGUGAGAACUUCAACAACCAGAGAUGAGAUUGAGGCUACCCAACAACAACUGUAUGAGCGUUGUGGCCCAGUGGAUUAGUCUCCCGGACCUUGAAACAGAGGGUCAUGGGUUCGAAUCCCAGCCAUGGCGUAAUUUCCUUCAACAAGAAACUGAUCCACACGGUGCUGCACUCAACCUAGGUGAGGUAAAUGGGUAUCAGUAGGAAGUAAUUCCUCAAGAAGCUGUGAACGCCUAGCUUAGCCGGGUAAUAUAGGAGCGCCUUGAGCACCUAAUAAGGUGGAUAUGUGCGCAAUAUAAAUACCCUAUAUUAUUAUUUUGAGUACCAGUACUACAGGAAUUCAAUAGUCAUAGGUGUGAUCGAUGGGACCCAUGUCUAUAUAAGAUAAUAAGAAUUCCUGGAGGAACACAAGCUUUGUACUUUUUUGAAGGGCAAGUCCACCCCAACAAAGAGUUUCUUUGAUAUAAUAGAGAAAAGUCCAAUGAGCAUAACACUGAAACUUUCAUUAAAAUUUGAUGUAAAAUGAGAAAGUUCUGACAUUUUGAAGUUUUGCUUAUAAGUUAUUUUCACAAAACAUCUGUGCACAUCCUGGUCAUUAUGCAAAUGAGCGACCAAGUGACGUUCUCCAUUCACCGUUUCUUUUGAAAUAUAUCAUUAAAUAUGAUUUUUUUUUCGCCUCAUAAUGUGUAAUACAGGUGUACUGGUAUGCUUUGAUUUCUCCCUGAGAUUUGUGUAAAAAGCCAUUGUGGCAACCUGAACUCAAUUCAAUAAAGACUUAUAAUUGUGAAUUCUGUAAAAAUUCAAGUUUUAUGAUAUAUUUCAUAUCUUGAUAUGCAAAAGAAAGACUGUGACAUAGACUUAAUUGCAUAUCACCUGUUUUGUGCAUAUAAGUGAUUUGUGUGAAUCUUUGAUAUGUCAUUACUUAUUUUACAUCAUAUUUUGAUGUUGUCAGUGUCAUGCAUGUUUUAUUUUUAUCUAUCCAUUCAAAUAAACUUUUUGUUGUACAGUGGACUUGCUCUAGAACAGGUAUUUUUGUAUGUACAUGUAAGAAUUUCAUUAUUUAUUAGUGUCUUUUCUUUUAACGCUUUUUUACUGGGGGUUGAAGCAACCUCCCUUGAGAUCUUGGCCAAUGAUCACGUAAACGCCUUGAAAAUUGGUAUGAUAAUAGUGGGGGAUGUAAUGUGCAAUGAAAUAUGGUUAAUUUUUCAGAAAUUGUCAGAUCUUUUAUAUGAAUUAUGCUAAUUUAUGUGUAAAUUAUACUUUUAUACCAUUGCUAUAAAAUGCUAACAAUCAAAUAUAUAAAAAAAAUCCUAGUUUGAAAAUGAAUUUCUUAUGUAUUUUAUUGUUUUAUGAAUUUCCUAUGUAUAUCUUUGUUUUUCAACCUUUUGGUUUUCUUUAUUAAGAAGAUGAGAAAACUCAACAUUGACCUUUUACACAAAAUCCCAUUUUGGAGCAAUUUUGGGUCUGACAUGCACUUAUGUAAUGUUGAGUAAUUUUCCAACCGCAUACCAGGCAUCGUAAAUUUGGUCUCAAAAGAUGUGCAAGACUUCAAAAUAAAAUGUUGGCGAGCGGCACGGUCGUAUAAUUUAUCACAGUGGAAUGGUCGUGGAAAAUGUCGAGGGUGGGGGGGGGGGUUGAUUCACCCCCCCCCCCCCCGCGGUUUUAGGGUUGAAAUAGCACAUGAUUUUUGAGAAUUUCACAUGAAUACAAAGGAAAUUAUCUAAUCUAUUUCUUUUUUAAGUAUUUGAAAUUAACUUUUAUCAGAUUUAGUUUCUUUCACAGACUACAUGCAUCUUCAAUGAUUUUUAAAUUUAAACAGUUUGUUAAAAAAAACACUAUUUAAUCACAAAGCAUCAAAUGUAAAUUCCUCAUUUACUUUUUCAUGUAAAAUAUUCUCACAUAUUUCAAAUUGUAUUUUUCAAAUGUUUAGAACUUUGAUAGCUCCCAGAAAGUUUAUUGCAUGCUCCAAAAUAUGCAUGUGUCCAUGAGGAUGAUGAGGUCAAGGGUCAUCAAUUUAAAUUGCUCUAAUUUCUUUGUUUUUGCGUUAGUUGUGUUUACAUUUUGCACAGAUAACCAUUGGGUAUUAAAUACCACAUGUACAUGUAUGUCCAAGAGGAUGAUAAGGUCAAAAGAUCAUAUUGCAUAGUUUAUUGAUCGUGAUAUCAGGCGAGACACGUGGUUCACCUUGUUUUUUGUUGAAAUGUAUUCUUUUCAUGUGUCCACAGGGCAACAGCCUAUCUGAGCCUUAUGAAUAGAGCUCGACUCGGGCAACUGGGAAAACACUAGCUUGGCCUGGCACAUGCACAUUUAGGGGGCAUGAAUGAAACAAAAGGGCAAUUAAUGUAUUUUCUUGGAAAAAAAUUUAAUUUCAAUUGACCCCCCAAGGAUAACCUGAUGGCCUAGUUGAGGAAACCAGGCAGCCUAACGAGUAGAGCUUGACUCGGUCAACCAGAAAAACACCAGCUAAUAAUGAACACUAAUGAUUAUUCAUAUAGGCCAUUAUUGUAUUGUAAUACAAGAAUGUGGCAAGAUAUCAAAGCCUGGAAUAAGUAUUUAUUUAUUUCACAAAUAUUUGUAAUUUUACAAUAUGUUAUAAAAUGCCAAUUGAGUAUUAGAUUUUCAGUGUGUUAUAUUUUUAUGUAAUUUCCUGAUGUGAUUUUCCAAGGUACCAGGUGAUUUCAUGCAAAUUAAAGAUAUACAGAAAAGAUACAAGAGUAGUCUUAAUUCCCUUUUCCUGAUUUGGACGAAAUAAUCAUGAAGAUGAUCAAGAUGACUUUGGUGGUGAUGAGGAUUUUAAUGGUGUUGUUGCUGCUGAUGGUGUGAUGAUGAAGUUGGUGGGGACGAGUGGUGGUGGUCAUACAUGUGAUGGUAAUGAUGAUGUUGGUGGUGAUGAUGGGUUGGUUGGUGUUGAUGAUGAGGUUGGUGAUGACGAUAAGAUGAUAGCAAUGGUGAUGUUAGUGUUGAUGGUAAUGAUGUUGACGAUAGUAAUGAUCAUCCCCCUUUCAUCUCCAUUCGCCUUUUCUCUCCAGCACUCUUAUCUAUAUAUAUCCCUCUCAUCGACAUCCCUCCUCUGAUCAUCUCCCUUCCUCCUCACCAUCUCCAUCCCUCCUCUCACCAUCUCCAUCACUCUAUCCUCUCAUCUCCAUCCUCCGAUCCCCUCCAUCCCUCAUCUCCACCCCCGUCUCAAUCACCUCCAUCCCUCCCAUUAUCUCCAUCACCAUCUCUUUCCUCUCAACAUUUCCAUCCCUCUCAACAUCUCAAUUUUUCUUAUCUCCAUUUGUCUCAGGAAAAUGCCUAUACACAAGAUAGAAUUCAACAGUCAAAAUACUUCUUUUGAAAUAUAAUAUCCCUUAGUAAAGUGGGUUUUAUUAUUUACCAUAUAAAUUUGAAUAAUUACAUAGUAAACACUGUAUACUUAACCGAAUUUGCAUUUUUGAAAGUGAAACUGAAUUUUUUCAUGCACACUUUCAGUGGAUAUGAAAAUUUUAAGUAAAAUUAAAUUAUUAAAAAUUCCAGGGGGGGGGGGGGCAACUGCUGCGUACCAAGCCGGCCCCAUGUAUAUUUUCCCUUAAUACUCAAACAGCCACGUAAUAAGCAUAGAACUCAUUCUAAGGCUAAGCUGUACACCAGGGGAAAAAUAAUAUAAAAAAGCAAUAUAUUAUUCAUUAAGCUGCAAGAACAGUUAAAGAAAAUAAAUCAGGGGAAAACAAGGAAUUGAAAGGGGCAAAAUUAGAUCAAUUUAUCCAUGUUAUUUUAAAUUCUGUAAAAAAUGCUAAGUCCCCUAUCUUUUUAUUUUAUUGAUCGCUUCCUUCGGCCCGGCAUGCCCACACCAUAUUUCGGGGGCCGGGGCGAAAACGCCCCCCCCCCCCUGCAGCCUCGGCAUGCGUACGUUAUUUAAUAUUAGUACUACAUUUCAUCAUCAUCAUAGGAAGAAGGCGGUGGCCUGGAAUUCCCGGUCUAUGGUUUUAGUCUGGUGAAUUUAUUACUGUACGCAUGCUGAGGAGUGGGGAUUUAAUUUUAGCCUGAAUCGAACAUCCACAAGUCAAAGAAAUUGAAGCCUAUUAUUACUUAAAACUAAGCUAUACACCAUUGAAAAUAAAUAUACAUAAACAAAAUCAUUUAUUUAAAAAUGUAGAAGGGCAGAGCCUACGAUGUCAAAUUAAGCUUCACUCAGCUCAGCUCGGCUCUUUACACGCCCACUUCCGUUGAGGAUAUUCGGGGCGGAAGCGCCCCGGCAGCUACGGGGGCCGAGCUACGCAGUAUUGCGAUGAAAAGCACCGAAUCGUUCAUCCGAUUUUCGCUACUCACGAUCAGAGAGAAAAGAUGACAAACCUCAACAAUCGUGCAUCUACAGUGAAUGUUACUCUCUCUAUGAAGAAAUUGAGUUAAGGGAAUACAAGAAAGUCUAUCUUCUGCGACAAAAGUGAAGAAAAUGAAUUAUGAUCACAAAAUUAAGUCAGUUCUUGAGCUGGGGCCGAGUCAAGUACCAAUACGGUACAGCAGCUAAAUAAACGCGGGCCGGCUACAUGGGAAUCGCGAGAUAGCUAGAAGCGCAUAAAAUUACACUUUUUUUUAAAUAUUUUACCGAAAAAAGUUGUAGUAAGUGAAGAAUCAGACCAUAUUACCAGUGCUAUUUGUUGAAUGUAAGUUUUCAAUGAACUGAGCAUGCUCAGUACACGCUAAAAAAGGGGAAAUCCCUGGUUUUGAGGUAAAACCCACGGUUUAAACCAUGGUUUCAUUUGAGUCCACUGUUGAAACCAUGGUUUCAUUUGAGACCACUGUUGAAACCGUGGGUUUUAGAAACCAUCGUUUGUGAAUCGCAAGUUUUAGAAACCAUGGUUUUUGAAAAACCAUGGUUUCUAAAACCCACGGUUUCUAAAAACCAUGGUUUCAAACGAAACCACCUUUGUGAAUUCGGGCCGUAAUGUUUGGACCUCAUUGGUACUAGGAGUGGGCUGGAUCAGGUCCGGAUAAGACAACGGAACACCGCUGCUACCAGUGGCAGUUGUAACAUGACCGUUUGUACACUCCAAAAUCAUAAACUCUUGCACUUCAGUCUCCUAUGCUCUCCUGUAAAUUCAAUCUCCAAAGCUCUCCUUACUUUAAUUAAACUAAAAUUAUUAAACUGAAGAUAGGGUGAACACAGAAUAAAUAGGAACUUAACACGACGAAGUCCAGAUCAGCACUGACUUUACUUUCCAAUCUAAUCUUCUGGGAAGUUCUGCCAAUGUACCCACAUUGGAUAAUCAUAGAAAUCAUGCAACCAAUCAAAUACAAGGAAAAUGGUAUGAACUAUAAAAUGAACUAACCCUAUUUAAAAAUAAGAACCAAUCAGAGAAUAGAGAAGGGUGAUCAUGAGUUAAACUGAAUCCUAAUGAGAAUUAAACAAUAAGACCAUGACAUGUGGAGUGGAAAGCUAAUGGAAAACCAGGGAGCAUGACUGAGGGGAAACUGAAUGAAAGAAUGAAUGCAAUGAACCUGUGUUGCUAUGUGAGAUGUAUUGUGGAGAUGGAAUGAAAGAUGAGAUCAUGACAAUGUAUGUGGAUUGUGAGGAUGGAAAGGGUUGGAAAGAAGGAUGAGAUGAGUAUGGAAAGCCAAAUGUAAGACUAAGACUAGAGUACAGAUUUAUAAAUAAACAAACCUAGCAAAAUUUACUGUUACAACAGCAAUGACCAACCCAUUUGCCAUUGUGGGGUAUUCUACUAGUCGGUGAAUCUAGACCUAGACUAGUCAAAAACUCAAAGCCACAUAGGCUAGGCCCUGGCCUAACGUUACACAGUCUAUUACAUGUGGGACAACGUAUACCGGGUAGAUAUAAGGCCAAGCCAAGGGCAAGGCUAAACGUCUUAAGUUUACCUGCAAGACACUGAAACUUCAAGUUGUGUUGCUGCUACGCCAGCAGUUCCUGGUUGAAAAAAAGCUUCGGUGCCUGUCAUCAUGGAUAGCAUGAUUGUAGAUAAAAGUUAUUGAAAGUGGAAAAAUCUACAUGAGUCAAUAAUAAUAGCUUACUCGACGAAUUAACGUAUUUAGUAUUAACUUAGCUGGCUGGCCAAGUAGGUCGACGGGUAUGGCGCGGUGUAAUAUGCGGCUAGCGCUAUC